rnacentral:rRNA from 1 species
AAAGGAAUAGACGGGGACCCGCACAAGCGGUGGAUCAUGUGGUUUAAUUCGAUGGUAAACGGGGAACCUUACCUGGGCUCAACUACUAGCUGCAUAUCACCAGAAAUGGAGAUAGCCUUCGAGGGUGCUAGAUAGGUGCUGCAUGGUUGUCGUCAGCUCGUGCCGUGAGGUGUACCAUUAAGUUGGGAAACGAGCGCAACCCUCAUCGUGUGUUAAAUUGCACACACGAGACCGCCCAGCAUUUUGGGUGUGAGUGAAAACUCGCAAGCAGAAUGCUGGGAGGAAGGAGAGGACGACGUCAAAUCAGCAUGGCUCUUACGUCCAGGGCUACACACAUGCUACAAUGGCUGGUACAGAGGGCCGCUAAGUCGCGAGACGGAGCUAAUCUCAUAAAACCAGCCCCAGUUCAGAUUGCAGGCUGCAACUCGCCUGCAUGAAGUAGGAAUCGCUAGUAAACGCGUAUCAGCCACGGCGCGUUGAAUACGUUCUCGGGUCUUGUACACACCGCCCGU